rnacentral:rRNA from 1 species
AAUGAACGUUGGCGGCGUGGAUUAGGCAUGCAAGUCGAGCGAGAACCCGCAAGGGGGACAGCGGCAAACGGGGUAGGAAUGAUUGGUGACGUACCCUCGGGACGGGGAUAGCCACGGGAAACUGUGGGUAAUACCCGAUAAUCUCCCAGGUUUGAAGACCUGGGUGCAAAGGUGUGAUUCCACCGGAGGAGCGGCCAAUCUGGUAUUAGCUAGUUGGUAGGGUAACGGCCUACCAAGGCUACGAUGCCUAGGGGGUGUGAGAGCAUGGCCCCCACCACUGGGACUGAGAUCCUGCCCAGACACCGACGGGUGGCGGCAGUCGAGAAUCUUCGGCAAUGGGCGAAAGCCUGACCGAGCGACGCCGCGUGCGGGAUGAAGGCCUUCGGGUUGUAAACCGCUGUCAGAGGGGAUGAAGUUAUAGGAGGUUCUCCUUCUAUAUUGACAGAGCCUCAGAGGAAGCACGGGCUAAGUAUGUGCCAGCAGCCGCCGUAA